rnacentral:tRNA from 1 species
GCCUGGGUGGCUUGGUCGGUUAAGCGUCCGACUUCGGCUCAGGUCAUGAUCUCACGGUCCGUGAGUUCGAGCCCCGCCUCGGGCU